AGAGUUUGAUCCUGGCUCAGGAUGAACGCUAGCGGCAGGCUUAACACAUGCAAGUCGAACGGUAAUCCCGCACUUCGGUGCGGGAACGAGUGGCGCACGGGUGCGUAACGCGUAUACAAUCUGCCUUGAACUGGGAGAUAGCCCGAAGAAAUUUGGAUUAAUAUUCCAUAUUGUACAUUUAUGACAUCAUUUUUGUAUGAAAGUUUCGACGGUUCAAGAUGAGUAUGCGUCCUAUUAGCUAUUAUGUGAGGUAACGGCUCACAUAGGCGAUGAUAGGUAGGGGUUCUGAGAGGGAUAUCCCCCACACUGGUACUGAGACACGGACCAGACUCCUACGGGAGGCAGCAGUGAGGAAUAUUGGACAAUGGGAGCAAUCCUGAUCCAGCCAUGCCGCGUGCAGGAAGACGGUCCUAUGGAUUGUAAACUGCUUUUAUACAGGAAGAAAAAGAGAGAUUCGCUCUCUCGUUGACGGUACUGUACGAAUAAGAAUCGGCUAACUCCGUGCCAGCAGCCGCGGUAAUACGGAGGAUUCUAGCGUUAUCCGGAAUCAUUGGGUUUAAAGGGUUCGUAGGCGGGACGAUAAGUCAGUGGUGAAAGUUCGUGGCUCAACCAUGAAACUGCCAUUGAUACUGUUGUUCUUGAGUCAUUGUGAAGUGGUUAGAAUGUGUAGUGUAGCGGUGAAAUGCAUAGAUAUUACACAGAACACCAAUUGCGAAGGCAUAUCACUAACAAUNUACUGACGCUGAUGAACGAAAGCGUAGGUAGCCAACAGGAUUAGAUACCCUGGUAGUCUACGCCGUAAACGAUGGUUACUAGCUGUUCGUCACGCCUUUGGCGAGAUGAGUGGUUAAGCGAAAGUGAUAAGUAACCCACCUGGGGAGUACGUUUGCAAGAAUGAGACUCAAAGGAAUUGACGGGGGCCCGCACAAGCGGUGGAGCAUGUGGUUUAAUUCGAUGAUACGCGAGGAACCUUACCAAGGCUUAAAUGCAUAUUGACAUCCUGGGAAACCGGGACUUCUUCGGACAAUUUGCAAGGUGCUGCAUGGUUGUCGUCAGCUCGUGCCGUGAGGUGUCAGGUUAAGUCCUAUAACGAGCGCAACCCCUGUGGUUAGUUACCAGCAUGUAAUGAUGGGGACUCUAGCCAGACUGCCGGUGCAAACCGUGAGGAAGGUGGGGAUGACGUCAAAUCAUCACGGCCCUUACGCCUUGGGCUACACACGUGCUACAAUGGUAUAUACAAUGAGCAGCCAUCUGGUGACAGAGCGCUAAUCUAUAAAGUAUAUCACAGUUCGAAUCGGAGUCUGCAACUCGACUCUGUGAAGCUGGAAUCGCUAGUAAUCGCACAUCAGCCAUGGUGCGGUGAAUACGUUCCCGGGCCUUGUACACACCGCCCGUCAAGCCAUGGAAGCCGGGAGUGCCUGAAGUCCGUAGCCGAAAGGAGCGGCCUAGGGUAAAACUGGUAACUGGGGCUAAGUCGUAACAAGGUA
rnacentral:rRNA from 1 species